AUUGAAAAAAAGAAAAAUAAGAAAAUAAAAAAAAGGGCUGGGGUUUAGCUUUACAGCCACGAGGGGAGAAAGGUAUAAAUAUGUUCUUCGGCGGAUCCUCGGCGGGAAGCGCCGCGGCAACGGAGGAGAGCGGCUUCGCUGAGGCUGGGAUCGAUCCAAUGGCCGACGGCCUGGACUAUCUUCCUGAUUCCCCCUCCUUCCAUCCACUAUGACUGCAAAACAGGCUUCCAUGCAGGAUUGAUGUAAGUGUAGACACCAUGACAUGGUUAUGAUGGUUAUUUUUUGUAUGCCAGGAUCCCCAUUGAAGUACCAAUAAUGGUGAUAAAGGUCCACAAGAGGCCCAUUUUAUAGUGGAGGAUGUUUCAGGAGAGCUGCUUUUAGAGCCACUUGUACUUUGCAAGUAUGGUUUCAAUGGAAUAGGACUUUAAGAGAAGAAAAUGGAAGCUCAGUUCCCCUAGAAGAUCCAGUUUUCAUUUGUUGCUUUCUGCUGAAUGUUGGUGCAAGCUUUUAGUGCUGAUAUUUCUAAAUGGUAUAGUAUCUUGUGUGGGUUGCAAGUGCAAUCAUGUCCGUUCAAUCAUGUUGAGGCACAGUGUCCCACCAUGUGAAUGAACUCAGAUGCCUGUUCAUCAUGAUGUUGGAAGGUUGCCCUUCAGCUUAGUCGCUUUGAUUGUUUCUGGUGUACAAAACUUGCAUGUGUCUUCUCCUUUUCCUCAACUUUCCUUGAGAGUUUCACCAAUCAAAACUGCUGCUAGCACAAACCUCUCAGGAAUGGGCUGACUGAUACUAGACUUUUUGUUGGAUAUGCAAAUGGAGGAAGAUAUGCCCACUUCCACCAAAGGAGACUGCAAUGAUGGUGCUUUAUGCUGCAUUCUAGUGGGGAAACCGAUAUUAUGCCAAGGAGAUGCUCCUUAGCUUUCAGAUGAAGCUCUCUUCCUCUGAAGUCAGCUUGAAAGUUAAAGAGAAGGAAGAAGGGUAAGGGUGGGAGGGCCAGGAAUCCAGCAUAGUCUUUCUUGGUUGCUUCUGGAGAAUUAUACUUGGAAGUUUUUCCCUUUCUUUUUGUGUGUGUGGGCCAUUGUUACAUGGUAGAAUAUGGAAGAGGGGGUUAGACUUUUUUAGACUAGUUUGCAGGUGACAUGAGAGCAAAUCAUAGUCCAUGUUCCAUCCUCAGCUCUUGUGGGUCCAGUCCUCAAAGAAAUAUCACCCCUUUAUCAAAUCAAAUAUGCCCGUGACUCGGGUCCUUCGCUGCUUGUGAGCAGACUAAUGAAAAGAUCAAAUAGGUCAGGAUUGUGAAAGAGGGGAUUAAUGCACCUUCUAAUAAGUGUGUCCGACAAAUUUAUGGGACAUAUUUGGGUCUGAUGGGAUUGUGCACAGCAUUGAUUGAUAUUGGAUCCAGGGUUUGCAAGCUCCAGAUUUCUUUUCCCCCCCAUCUUGGUAGAUAACUAAAGCCAUGUUGAACCAAGAUACUUAUUGUACUUGAGGCGCAGGCUGCACAAUUGCUAAAGCAAUUUAGAUUCAUAGAUAUCUUGGUUAAUAUACUACUACAGUAAUCAAAAUAUCAACUGAUACAGCAUAGAAGAUUACUGGUGCUUUAUGCAUUUACUUGAAUACUACGUGAUUGAAAAACCCAUAACAAGACAGUAGAAAGGAAACAAAACAAAGAUCUUGGGCAAUAUCUCGGAUAUCUCAGUUCAUACCAGCUGAGAUACAUAGAACUUGUAUUAGACAAUUAUUUUCUCGGUCAGUACCGAAACCAGAUACUUUAC